rnacentral:lncRNA from 1 species
UUAAUUUAAUUUGAUGGAUUUUUAAAGCAAAUUUUUUGAAAUCUGAGAUCGUUCAUCGAGCUUAGUCUCUCUCUUACACUGUAUUUGCUGUUUAGGAUGAUGUUUUAGUUUAGUUUUGCUUGUUUUUAUUUUAGGCCUGUAACUAUGACUUGACUACUUGUUAGUAUGUUUUCUCUCUUUAUUUGCUUUCUUUUGGCAAUUUUUGACAAAAAGGGGGAGAGCGUAGAUGAACAGGGGGAGAACAUGGAUGAACAGGAUUUGAACUAAGUAGAAGAUGAUGAGUUCAAGAACAAAGGGGGAGUUGUGAUCGAGAUGUGAACAAAGGGGGAGAAGGUAUAAGAAUCUAAGGUUAAUCAUUGUUGAAUGAAAUAUUUUGCAGGAAAUCAAGACUUCAAGACUUCUAGUUGCGUCUAAGUCAUAGAGUCUGUUUUAGGAGUUUUAAAUGUAAUUUUGGUUCUCAAUUUGUAUUUGGAUUACACGUGAGGAGUUCAAUGUUUUGGUGAUGACAAUUGAACUUCGUUUUCUUUUUACAAUGUAAUUGUUGAGUUUGUGUGUGUUUUUCA